rnacentral:rRNA from 1 species
UACGUAGGCAGCAAGCGUUGUUCGGAAUUACUGGGCGUAAAGAGUGUGUAGGCGGUGUUCUAAGUUUGUCGUGAAAUCUCCCGGCUUAACUGGGAGGGUGCGGCGAAAACUGGAAUGCUAGAGGAUGGGAGAGGUAAGCGGAAUUCCUGGUGUAGCGGUGAAAUGCGUAGAUAUCAGGAGGAACACCUGUGGUAUAGACAGCUUACUGGACCAUUUCUGACGCUGAGACACGAAAGCGUGGGUAGCAAACGGG